UCUUGAUAAAACGUUAAUCUUUGGUAAUACUCCUUGCUAGUUCCCGUUGAUUGUUAUAUUGAGUUAUAACAAAUGAUUUUAAUUGCAUAUGGUUGCUCAUAAUAUUCUGCUCGUGCAUAGAGUCAUUUAUCAUUUCACCGAGUCUCGGGCCGGGUAAUGUUCGUGCGGAGUUUCUUGCAUAUGUCACCGAGUCCCUCACUAGAGGGCCGGGUAUGUAUAUUAUAUAUAUGAUUGGUGAUGAGGAUGGUUAUGAUGAUGAUGAUGACGGAGAUGACUUGAUGAUUAUUUUGCCGAUUCCCUUACUAGGGAAGCUGGGCACCUUAUAUGUUGAAGAUAUGCAUGAUUUUCACUUAAAAGGGUACAUGUGUAGCGAUAUUUUGUUUCGACUUGCCAUAUUGGUAUCCUGUCAUCUUUACCUUAUGUUUUACAUGCUCAGUACCUUGUCUGUACUAACCCCCCAAUCCUCGGGGGGCUGCAUUUCAUGCCCGCAGGUGUAGACGCACAGUUCAGCGAUCCUCCUGCCUAGGAUUACUCUGCUGAUUGGGAGAGCUCCACUGUUCCGGAGCCUAGUCAUUUUGGUACAUAACUUUUUGUGUAGUCUUUUGCUCGUCUAUGGGUAAGGCGGGGCCCUGUCCUGUCGAGUUUCACUACUAUCCAAAACGGGCACUAGUCACGGCCCAUUGGGUUGGGUCGUGACAAAGAGUGGUAUCAGAGCGGUUCUUCCUCGGAAGUGUCUGCAGACCGUGUCUAGUAGAGUCUUGUUUAUCGGUGUGUUGUGCACCAUAUCUAUAAACAGGAAGCUACAGGACAUUUAGGAUGUCAUCUUUUCUUCUUAUUCUAGAUCGUGCGAUAGAGCUAUAUUAACAGGAUAAUCCCUCUCUAACGAAUCCGUGUGUUUUCAGCUAUGCCUCCAAAGAAAGCGACAGCCGCCUAAAAGGGCAAAUCGGUAGCAGAAGGUACUAGUCAGACCAGGAGAGUUACUAGGGCCCGUGCGCAGUCUAUGCCUGGUAUUAUGCUCCAGUCGAAGAGCUCUGCUACACCGCCACGGCCAGAGGAUCUUAGAGCAGCAGCAACUCCAGUUUGGGGGACACCACCAGCCCCCGAGGCCCCAGCACCUGAACCUCCAGCUCCUCAGUCAGGGGCGGAGGAUAGGGCCUUGAGAGAUGUUGUUCAGUUGCUGACUAGAUUAGUGGAAGGUCAGGCUUGCAGGCAUGGACUAAGAGUUGAUCAUGCGGACAGAUCUGAUAGCUUAAGGACUCGUGACUUCUUAAGUUGUAAUCCUCCAUAGUUGUUUGGCUCAAGGCCCCAGGAUGAUCCGCAAGAGUUUAUUCGUCAGAUGCAGUGUACAUUGAGGAUAAUCAAGGCUUCGGAGACCGAGUCUGUUGAGUUGGCUACGUAUUGUUUGUGGGAUGUAGCUAUUAAUUGGUAUGAGUCUUGGGAGUUAUCUAGGGGUGAGGGUGCUCCUCUAGCAGUAUGGGAUGAAUUUAUGGAGGCUUUCUAGGGCCACUUCCUGCCUCCAGAGAUGAAGCGACCUAGAGUCGAUAAAUUCUUGUGUUUGAAGCAAAAUGGCAGGAGCGUUCGAGAGUAUAGCCUCGAGUUUUAUUCAUUGGCUAGGCAUGCGCCUACUAUUGUGGCUGAUAUGGCAGACAGGGUACAUCGUUAUGUGAUGGAUUGGAUCAUUAUCUGAUUAACGAUUGUAUGACAGUGACUCUUCAGCCAGGUGUGGAUAUUGCUCGGGUGCAGGCAUAUGCACAGGGGGUAGAGGAUCGGCACCGGGGACGUCAGCCAGAUAGAGAUUCUAAUAGAGGCCAACAUAAGAGGGCUAGAUCAGCAGGUUAUCCUGACGAGUUUCGAAGCGGGCAGUCUCAGCAGCAUGUUAGAUUUUCUUCCCAGUCAGCACAGAGUGCACCCCUAUGUUUCAUGGGUAGGGGGUUCAAUCGUAUGGGAUAUUCAGAAGCUGGUCAGAGCUCUAGGGCGUCAGGGUCACAGAUGGGCAGGGGUUUGAGCCAGUCGAGGCCACCUUUGCCUGGGUGUUCUCGCUGUGGUAGGUCCCAUCCUGAGGAAUGUCGUUGGGCUACAGGUGCGUGUUUUUCUUGCGGCCGUCAGGUCCAUACUAUGAGGGAGUGUCACCUUACAGGUAGUGUAGGUGGUAUGGCACAGCCUACUGGGUCCAUUGCUGGUUCAUCUUCUUCUGUGGCUAUGCGCCCUACGGGGCAAGGUAUUCAGGCGCCAGUAGGCCGUGGUAGAGGACGUGGUGGAGCUUCCAGUUCUAGCGGUCCCUCGAACCGUAUAUAUGCUUUGACUAAUAGGCAAGAUCAGGAGGCGUCACCUAAUGUGGUCACAGGUAUAUUAUCACUAUUCUCCCGAAGUGUGUAUGCAUUGAUAGACCCCUUCCACCUUAUCAUAUAUAUCUCCCUUUGUUGCUAGUAGGAUCAGAAUAGAGUCUGAGUUGAUAGAACCAUUUGAGGUAGCUACACCUGUAGGAGAUUUUGUCAUAGCUACGUGAGUAUAUAGGAAUUGUUCAGUAGUUAUAUAUAGUCGUCGUACGGUAGCAGAUCUAAUAGAGUUAAAUAUGAUUGAUUUGAUAUUAUCAUGCGCAUGGAUUGGUUGGCUGCUUGCUAUUCUAAUGUUGAUUGCAGAGGAAAGAUAGUUCGAUUUCAAUUUCCAGGGGAACCGAUUAUAGAGUGGAAGGGGAGUACAGUAUUGCCGAAAGGUAAGUUUAUUUCAUACCUUAAGUCCGGGAAGAUGGUUACAAAAGGCUGUAUUUACCAUUUGAUUCGGGUGCAUGACAUAAAGGCAGAGGCACCGACUCUUCAAUCAAUCCCGGUAGUUAAUGAAUUUCUCUAUGUAUUCCCCGAGGAACUUCCAGGCCUUCCUCCAGAACGAGAGAUAGAGUUUACUAUAGAUGUACUGCCAGAUACCCAGCUUAUAUCUAUACCUCCUUAUAGAAUGACACCUGCUGAGUUGAAAGAAUUGAAAGAGCAAUUGAGGGAUUUGCUAGAAAAUGGCUUCAUCAGGCCUAGUACGUAACCUUGGGGAGCACCGAUACUUUUUGUGAGGAAGAAGGAUGGGUCGCUGCGGAUGUUUAUUGAUUAUAGGCAGCUGAACAAAGUAAAAAUAAAGAAUAGGUAUCCCCUCCCAAGGAUUGACGAUCUAUUUGACCAGUUGCAGGGUGAAAAGUGUUUUUCAAAGAUAGACUUGCGGAUAGGUUAUCAUCAGGUGCGGGUAAGGGAGGCAGAUAUUUCAAAGACGGCAUUCCGGACCCGAUAUGAGCAUUAUGAGUUUAGAGUGUUGUCUUUUGGGCUGACUAAGCUCCAGCGGUGUUUAUGGAUUUAAUGAAUCGAGUAUUUAAACCAUUCCUUGAUAUGUUUGUUAUUGUAUUUAUAGACAAUAUUUUGGUCUAUUCACGUUCAGAAAGGGAGCAUGCAGACCAUUUAAGGACGGUACUUAGGGUGAUUCAGCACCAGAAGUUGUAUGCUAAAUUUUCUAAGUGCGAGUUUUGGUUGAAUUCAGUGGCAUUCUUGGGGCAUAUUAUUAGAGCUGAUGGUAUUCGAGUAGACACGUAGAAGAUUGAGGCGGUAAAGACUUGGCCCAGACCUACGACACCUACUGAGGUACGUAGCUUUCUGGUUAGCAGGAUAUUACAGGAGAUUCGUAGAAAAGUUUGCCUCAAUUUCAGCGCCUUUGACAAGGCUAACUCAAAAGGCAGCCAAGUUCCAGUGGACUGAUGCUUGUGACCGAAGCUUCCAGCUAUUGAAAGACAAAUUGACUACAGCUCCAGUCCUAACUCUUUCGGAGGGAUAAAGACGGCUAUGUUAUUUAUUGUGAUGCUUCGGGUGUUGGUCUAGGAUGUGUAUUGAUGCAGCAUGGCAAAGUUAUAGCCUAUGCCUCCCGACAGUUUAGGAAGCAUGAAAAGAACUAUCCUACUCACGAUCUGGAGUUAGCGGUCGUGGUUCAUGCCUUUAAGAUAUGGAGACAUUAUUUAUAUGGUUUCCAUGUGGACAUCUAUACAGAUCAUAAGAGUCUCCAAUAUAUCUUUAAACAGAAGGAGCUGAACUUACGACAGAGGCGGUGGUUAGAGUUGCUAAAGGAUUAUGAUGUUGAUAUUUUAUAUCAUCUAGGGAAAGCGAAUGUUGUAGCAAAUGCUCUUAGUCGUAAGUCCAUGGGUAGCUUGACAGAUGUACAACCAGAAAGGAGGGAUAUGGUUCAGGAGAUUCAGCGCUAUCCAGCCUUGAAGUCCGUAUGUCUAAUUCAGAAGAUAGUGGAGUUUCUAUUCGAGAGGUUGCUGAGUCCUCAAUCAUUGAUGAGGUAAAGAGACACCAAUACAAGGACCCUAUUCGGGCAUAGUAUAGAGAUGCAGCUCUUCAAAAGGAAAAGACCCCAUUUAAGGUUACACCUGACGAAGUGUUACGAUAUGAAGGCAGAUUGUGUGUACCUGAUAUUGUUGGCUACGACGCCAGGUUAUGGGAGAGGCACACUCUGCCUGUUAUUCUAUUCACCCAGGGUCAAAGAAAAUGUAUCAUGAACUCAGAUGCUUAUAUUGGUGGGAUGGCAUGAAACAUAGCGGAGUUUGUUGCUCAGUGCUUGAAUUGUCAACAAGUCAAGAUCGAACAUCAAAAGCCUGGUGGAUUAUUACAGGAGAUAGAGAUCCCGACUUGGAAAUGGGAGAUGAUUAAUAUGGACUUCAUACAGGCUUACCUCGCACUCAAUGGAAGUAUGACUCUAUAUGGGUUAUUGUAGAUAGGCUGACGAAAUCGCCCAUUUUCUUCCUAUCAGGACUACUUAUUCGGCUGAAGAUUAUGCGAGGUUAUAUGUCAGGGAGAUAGUGAGACUUCAUGGGGUUCCCACGUCCAUUAUAUCAGACAGAGGAGCUCAAUUUACAACCAACUUUUGGAGAUCGUUUCAGAAGGGAUUGGGGCCACAGGUGAACCUUAGCACAACAUUUCACCCUCAGACUAAUGGGCAGGAUGAGCGUACUAUUCAGACAUUAGAAGAUAUGUUGCGGGCCUGUGUUAUUGACUUCAAAGAUAGCUGGGAUGACCACUUGCUGCUCAUUGAGUUUGCCUAUAAUAAUAGCUACCAUUCUAGUAUCCAUAUGGCACCGUACGAGGCCUUAUAUGGGAGGAAGUGCAGAUCACCUAUUGGUUGGUUUGAUGUUGGCGAGACUAAGUUAAUAGGCCCGUAUGUGAUUCAGCAAGCUGUUGACAAGGUGAAGCUUAUUCAAGAAAGAUUAUUAGCAGCCCAGAGUCAACAGAAGUCAUAUGCAGAUAAUCGGCGUCGAGAUUUGGAGUGUCAGAUUGGUGACUGGGUAUUCCUGAAGGUAUCACCCAUGAGGGGUGUUAUAAGAUUUGGCAGGAAGGGGAAGCUUAGUCCGAGAUACAUUGGGCCUUACCAGAUUGUUCGUAGGAUAGGCAAGGUUGCCUAUGAGUUGGAUCUAUCAUCUGAUUUGGAGGCGGUACAUCCAGUCUUCCAUGUAUCGAUGCUACGUAAAUGUAUUGAUGAUCCUUCUAGAGUAUUCCCCAUAGAUGAUGUUCAGGUAACAGAGGAGUUGUCAUAUGAGGAGAAACCCGUAGCUAUACUUGAUCGCCAGGUUAGAAGGUUACGUACUAAGGAUGUGGCUUCCGUCAAAGUGUUGUGGCAAAAUAAUAAUAGGGAGUAGAUGACUUGGGAAGCGGAAGACGAAAUGAAGAAUAAGUAUCCUUACUUGUUCCCCGUACUUGCAGGUAAUUUAAUUCCUAGCUUGACUAUAUUGAUUGAUAAACAAGAUUAUGUAGUAAGUUGUGACUCUGUGAGGCAUCUGUAAGUUACAGAAUGCAGGUUGAUAGGUAUAACUGUUAGAGAGACCUCGCUGGAAUUUGUUUUUGUAACACGCUAACUUAACAUUCGAGGAUGAAUGUUCCUAAGGGGGGAAGGAUGUUAUGCCUCGUAUUUUUUUUAUACGUAGUGCGCGUCAUGAUCUAGUAGACAUAAGUCUGGGGAAUGAGAUUUUAUUUUAAGUUCCAAGCGAUUAAAGAAUAUUAGGCAGUGAUGUUAAUUCCAAAUGUGAUAUUAAGUAUGCUUUGGCUAAUGUAAGUGCCAUUAACUUUAAGUGAGGGAUUAAUUAGUGGCUGAUUAGGAUUAAUUUAAUCCAGUGGGCCCCACCACUCAAUACAAAAAAUUAAAAAGGGAUCAGAUUGGGAGCUGGCCUUCGUAGACACGUGUAGAGGGGGGGCUGCCUCCACUUCAUAUUAUAAAUGAGGUGGAGAAAUCCACUCCAUACUAAAUAAAGUGGUGAAAUUUAUUGCUGCAUAUCAUCUUCUUCACCACUUGGCUUAGGCAGCCAUGGAAAUGGAGAAACCAACCCUACUACUCUUGGCCAGCAGCUGCAAAUAAUCUGGUUAGUAAUCUCCUUGCUUGGUGUGUUAAUUAUUUAAAUACCUUGUUAAUUAUCCAUUAAUAUUAAGAAGGGGGCAUGACCAGUAGCUUAGGAAGUUUGUUUCAGUUAUUGAAUGUGCUAAGUAUGAACGGAAACCAUAAUCGGAUUAUUAGUGGUGUCGUGUUUGUGCUUGGGCUGUUUUGAUUAAAGCAAACUGCGGGAAAAUUCUGUUUUGGCGUCAUGUAUAUGUUAAAUGUGAUUAUGAGUAUAUACUCCAAAGGAUGAAUACGAUAAGGUAGAUGUGUUGCGAAUUAUAAAACAAGUUAUCGCUCGGUGUGUCGUUGCUUCGCUGCUAUGGUUGCCGAGACGAAAUUGUUUUGGGGAGGCGGCUGUUUAAUAUGAUUCGUUGGGUUAUAUGUGUUAUUGGUAUUGCUGUGGAUAAUUUGGGUUGUUGUCGGAUUGGGACGAAGUAAGGAAAAUAGGGGAAGUGCUGCCAGAUUUUCGUUAUAUUAUUAGCUAGCUUACAAGAUAGUUAAGGGCGACGUUUAUCUAAUUGCAGCACGAUUGUUGCUUGUUAUAGAUUAAUAGCUUGAGCAGUAAAUAUUGGACAUGCGGCUCGACUAUACGGUAUGUAACGAUGUCCCUUCUUUCUUUGUUUGGCAUGACUUUCAAAAAUAAGCAAAUAACAAACAGGUUUGAUACUUACCUCUAGAGCGUCUCGGUGACGUAUAUUCUUGCUACCAAGAUUAUUCCUAUAUGUCGGCUAUGUCUAAGGCUAUGAUGAUUUCUCAUAUCUAUGGUAGUGCUUCUUAGAGUCAUUGAGAUUUUACGUUUCCAUAUCGUAUUAAAGGUUCAUAAUCUUGAUAAAACGUUAAUCUUUGGUAAUACUCCUUGCUGGUUCGUGUUGAUUGUUCUAUUGAGUUAUAAGAAAUGAUUUUAAUUGCAUAUGGUUGCUCAUAAUAUUCUGCUCGUGCAUAGAGUCAUUUAUCAUUUCAACGAGUCCCGGGCGGGGUAAUGUUCGUGCGGAGUUUCUUGCAUAUGUCACCGAGUCCCUCACUAGAGGGCCGGGUAUGUAUAUUAUAUAUAUGAUUGGUGAUGAGGAUGGUUAUGAUGAUGAUAAUGACGAAGAUGACGUGAUGAUUAUUUUGCCGAGCCCCUUACUAGGGAAGCUGGGCACCUUAUAUGUUAAAGAUAUGCAUGAUUUUCACUUAAAAGGGUAUAUGUGUAGCGAUAUUUUGUUUCGACUUGCCAUAUUGGUAUCCUGUCAUCUUUACCUUAAGCUUUACAUACUCAGUACAUUGUCUGUACUGACCCCCUUUCCUCGGGGGGCUGCGUUUCAUGCCCGCAGUUGUAGACGCAUAGUUCGGUGAUCCUCCCGCCUAGGAUAUCUACUCUGUUGAUUGGAAGAGCUCCACUGUUCGGAGCCCAGUCGUUUUGAUACAUAACUUUUUGUGUAGUCUUUUGCUCGUCUAUGGGUAUGGCGGGGCCCUGUCCCGUCGAGUUUCACUACUAUACUCUUAGAGGUCUGUGGACAUUAUGUUGGUUGUAUAUAAAUGUUUUGGAUAAUGGUCUGGACAUGGUUUGUUUGGGAUGUCCGCUUGUACAGGGGAAGCCUUGUCGGCUGUGUACAUCAUUGUGUAUUGUGUAGUGGCAGCCUUGUCGGCUUAAGUAUGUUAUUAUGCUUUGGAUAGUGGCGGCUUUGUCGACUCGCGUAUGUUGUUACGGUUAAAUGGUUAUGACUCCUUAUGAGACAGGUCCUCUUUAUAUAUAUAUGACGUUGGGGUUGUCUUAAUUUGAUUAAAUUCCAUAUUGUCUUAGUUUCAGUUGGUUAUACUUAGCAGGUUUGUAUGUGGGUGUCCAAAACUGGCACUAGUCACGGCCCAUCGGGUUGGGUCGUGAAAGUAAUAGGACC
rnacentral:lncRNA from 1 species